rnacentral:rRNA from 1 species
CAGCAGUCGCCACGCGUAACACGUAGGGUGCAAGCGUUAAUCGGAAUUACUGGGCGUAAAGCGUGCGCAGGCGGUUAUAUAAGACAGAUGUGAAAUCCCCGGGCUCAACCUGGGAACUGCAUUUGUGACUGUAUAGCUAGAGUACGGCAGAGGGGGAUGGAAUUCCGCGUGUAGCAGUGAAAUGCGUAGAUAUGCGGAGGAACACCGAUGGCGAAGGCAAUCCCCUGGGCCUGUACUGACGCUCAUGCACGAAAGCGUGGGGAGCAAACAGGAUUAGAUACCCCUGUAGUCCCUGUCUCUUAUA